rnacentral:rRNA from 1 species
UACGUAGGGGGCUAGCGUUGUCCGGAUUUAUUGGGCGUAAAGAGCGUGUAGGCGGCCAGAUAGGUCUGCUGUGAAAACUCGAGGCUCAACCUCGAGAUGUCGGCGGAAACCAUCUGGCUAGAGUCCGGAAGAGGAGAGUGGAAUUCCUGGUGUAGCGGUGAAAUGCGCAGAUAUCAGGAAGAACACCCGUGGCGAAGGCGGCUCUCUGGGGACGGUACUGACGCUGAGACGCG